UAAAAUGUUAAAUUUUAUGAUUUUUAAAGCAACUAAUUUUAAGAAAAAAUUGAUAAUAAAUAUUGCUCCUUAAUUAUUUUAAAACAUUGAAGCCAAAAAUCAAAAACCCUUUGAGCAGCCUUAAACCCCAGACAGUCGCAACUUCACGGCAAAUCUGAAACAGAAGCUCGAACCACAACAAACAGCGAAGCUCCAGUUCUGGGUUUUGCAGUUGUGCUUUGUCAAUUUAUUGCAGACGUAGUACGAAAUAGUGCAACAAGGUGAUGGCUCAUCUGUACUCUUUAUUCUGAUAUGACUUAUCGCGUUACCGUUGAUUAAGAAGCAAAAAUUGGGUCACCUCUUGGGAAUUUUCUUUUUUUCCGGUCUGCAUUUAGCAAAUGUGGGUCAAGCCAUGCGGUCAGCUCACACACAUCAUGCUAUUAUACAGAGCUAUAGUGCAUGCCAUCUUCUUCAUCUUGUUAUGUGCUGAGAGGUCUUUCUCUGAGUCAUAUUCAGAAGUUCAUUCCUAAAAAAUGGAAAGAAACUGCCGAAGAAAUCAGUAACAGUCGCCCUAUACUGGGACAGCGUUCACUUGGCAAUGAAUCUAUGAUAGAUAACCUUUUUAAUUCUCUCAAAGACUUAGCAAGGCGAGGAAAUUUAUUAAACUCAUUCAAAACCUUUUCUCUGCUCCAGCAUCAUGUCUCCGGCACUACUUCUUGCGAACUUGUCCUGCAUUCCAUAUCUUCUCUUCUUUUAUCAUGUGUCAACCUUAAAUCAUUCUCACAGGGUAAGCAGCUCCAUGCCCUCAUUAUCUCGUUGGGGUUUGAGCAACAUCCUAUACUUGUUCCUAAGCUUGUCACUUUCUACUCAAACAUUGAUCUAUUAGCCGAUGCUCGCACCAUUACCGAAAAUUCAAAUAUCUUGCAUCCUUUGCCAUGGAAUCUACUUAUAUCUUCCUAUGUUAGAAAUGGAUUACAUGGAGAGGCUCUGUCUGUUUACAGACAGAUGAUACGUAAAGGUGUUAGACCUGAUAAUUUCACUUACCCAUCUGUCCUUAAGGCUUGUGGCGAAAAAUUAGAUAUAGCCUUUGGGAAAGAGGUUCAUGAAUCCAUUAAUGCUAGCUGCCUUGGAUUUAAUUUGUUUGUCCAUAAUUCAUUAGUUUCCAUGUAUGCAAAAACUAAGGAAUUGGGUAUGGCACGUAUCUUAUUUGAAAAUAUGCCAGAAAGAGAUGAUGUUUCCUGGAAUACUAUGAUCUCUGGUUAUGCAAACAAGGGCAUGUGGAAAGAGGCAUUUGAGCUAUUUGAAAAAAUGAGGGCAGAAGGUGUUGAAGCAAACAUCAUAACUUGGAACACUAUAGCUGGAGGGUGCUCACAAUCGGGCAAUUAUAAAUUGGCACUUCAGUUGCUUUCUCAGAUGAGAAGUUCUGGCAUCCAUUUUGACUCAGUGGCAGUGAUUAUUGGUCUGGGUGCAUGUUCACAUAUUGGGGCCAUUAGAUUAGGUAGAGAGAUUCAUGGUUCUGCAGUUCGCAGUUUUUACGAUGGAGUUGAUAAUGUUAAAAAUGCACUAAUCACUAUGUAUUCCAGAUGCCAAGACCUUAGACAUGCCUACAUGUUGUUUCAAUCAAUGAGAACUAAGAAUAUUAUUACUUGGAACUCCAUGCUUUCUGGAUACACCCACAUGGACAGAUCUGAGGAAGCAUCCUUCCUAUUUAGAGAGAUGUUGUUUUCUGGCCUUGAGCCAACUCAUGUGACUCUAGCGAGCAUUCUCCCCUUAUGUGCUCGUACGGCAAACCUACAUCACGGAAAGGAGUUCCACUGUUACAUAUUGAGGCAUGCAGGAUUUAAGGACUAUUUGCUGCUUUGGAACUCUCUUAUUGACAUGUAUGCAAGAUCUGGAAAGGUUUUAGAAGCAAAAAGACUAUUUCAUUCGAUGAGCAGGAGGGAUGAAGUGACUUAUACAUCCUUGAUUGCGGGGUAUGGAAUACAAGGAGAGGGACAAGCAGCACUAAAACUUUUUGAUGAAAUGAACAAGCGUGGUAUUAAACCAGACCAUGUAACCAUGGUGGCAGUUCUAUCAGCUUGUAGCCAUUCAGGUCUAUUGACUGAAGGUAUUAUGUUGUUCGAAAGGAUGUCUACUGCUUACGGCAUAACUCCACGUUUGGAACACUUUGCCUGCAUGGUAGACCUAUUUGGCAGGGCUGGUUUGUUACAUAAAGCAAAGGAUAUGAUUACAAGGAUGCCAUACAGGCCAAGUUCUGCGAUGUGGGCCACACUUCUAGGAGCCUGUUGUAAACAUCAAAAUAGAGAGAUAGGGGAAUGGGCUUCCGAGAAACUGCUGGAAUUGAGGCCUGAAAAUUCAGGUUACUAUAAGUUGAUUGCUAAUAUGCAUGGUGCUGCAGGUUGCUGGAACAAGUUAGCAAAUGUAAGGACUUAUAUUAGAGAUUUGAAUGUGAGGAAGGAACCCGGCUAUUCCUCAGUGGAUGCGGGCACUGGCUCUGUCCAAUUUCUGGCGGGUGAUACUUCAAAACCUCAUGCAAAUGAGCUGUAUCCAUUAUUGGAUGGGUUGACUGAGCUAAUGAAAGAUGACUUGUAUGCUGGCAGGGAAAAUUAUGGUUCAGUUGAUGAUGUACUGGAGGAAAUGGGAUAAUAUGUUUUGUUAUGUACAAGCCCCUUUCUGUUAUAAAAGAAUUUUUCUCAAGUAGGGAAGAGUUAUAGUCUACCUAAAAUCAAUUUCAGGUCGAGGCUACACAAUAAUUUCAACACAAGACUAACCAAAGAUGUGUUGGAGGAACCAAUGUGACCUUAAGCUGUUUGCAUUGGAGACUUGAAUUUUACAACAUUCUCAUCUGUACAUAGAGAUUGAUAUUCUUUUUAGCAGGUCUGCGUUACUCUAGGACGAGGCGUUAUUUUCUUUGUCAAUACAAGUACUAUACACUUAACAGACACACAGUACAGACUUGUGCACAGAACCCUAAACCAAAAAUCUGUACUUAAUUUGUGUUGCGGCAAAAGGGCAUCUCCUCUCAGGUCGUUGAUGUCGGAAAAUCUUGAGCUGAUCUGCUAGCUGAGGAAAUCGUUGAAAUAACCAAGUAACAGCCUUGAUGAUAACCUGAAGAUUCAAAAAGGAAUUACACAUUAUAAUUAUCAAUCAAACCGUUAACGAUGAAUAAAUGCACAUCUGUUUUUUUGGUGCAUAGUUUCAACGGGGAUGUUGAUGUGAGACUGAUGUACAUACCAGAGCUCCCUCUCCAGGUUUGAUUGCAGGCUCAACACUGUCCCGUGCAUAACUGUUAAACCACAGAGACACUCACGUUUUGUUCAGACAAAAAGAAAGUUUCACUUCAUCAAGAAAGCUUAGAAACUUCAGACAUAUGGUCGCUUUCUUUUUUGGAGAGAAACUGGUGAUAAAAAUGAGAGAUUCUUUUUUCAGGCACAAAUAGGGGUGUGCAAUCCAUUUUUGGUUCGGUUCUAAAGUAAAUUGAUAAUAAAUGAACUGAAUUGAUCAAUUUUGGUUCGGAACGGUUUUAAAUUGAUAAUAAACUUACAUUAUUUGUUUUCUGUUGUUGAAGAGCUGCAGUUUGUAAAAGCUGCAUCCUUUACUAAAUGGGAAUGGCUUGCCCUUC